AUGCCCUCUGUAUUGACAGUAGACUCUCCAGAUCCAGAAAGACCCCCUCACUCACCUGGCAGGGUGAAGGCAAUGGCCAGAAACUUCUCCCGUCAUGGCUGUUUCUACUCUGAUGAUGAGCAGGGUUGCUCUGAGGCAUUGUUGGAGAGGGCCAGCUUUUAUUCUGACUGCAGUGAAAAAAGAGCAAGUGACUCACAAAAAAAAUACCGGAGUGCCAGUCAUAAGGAGGACAUCUUUCCGAGCUUAACCAGGAGAGCUCGAGCUUUAGAGAGAGAUAGGCUGCACCACCAAGCACGUUAUCAGCCCAUCAAUGGAGACAGCCAGCUGACAGAGCCCAGCACUAUGAUAACUCAGUUGGAUGGUGAAAGAGAAAGGGACAACUUAAGCAAAUGUUUAAAGCUGGUGAAGGAACGUGAGCAAAUGGAGAGGGAGUUAGAACACUACACGGCCAGCCGAAGGGCACAGGCACAUGAGCAAGAACAGAGGCGGGCCAAGUCUGCAAGUCCCUUAAGAAAAUGGACAGGUGUUGAGUCUGAAGACCCUAUUUGGAAACCCCAAGACAUCCAUUUAUGGCAAAAAUCCCGACCCAGCAGCCUGGCCCAGCGUGUAUCGGACUAUAGAAGGGGCUGUUAUUUCGGCAACACCAGCAGUCCCAUGGAGAGACUUCCCUCCUUAUCUUCCACACACAUCCAGUGGGACAUAAGCCCUGUGACGUCCCCCACCAGCCAGGUGCCGGUGCAGAGCCUGUCUGAAGGGAACACACCUCGCUCACUCUACCCUCAUACACGUCAACGAGGUGUUGCCAAUGUUGAAGAUUCAGUUGCAGCAGAUGUUUCUCAUUCACCAGCCACACAAUAUACCUCUCUCUCACUUUUCUCUCCUACCAGGGACAUAUCCUCUCACAGUAGAACCAACCUCAGUGGGGCACGAGCUAGACACCCGGAGAGUCACCUGGAAGAGGAGGAGCGGCUGCCCAACAGUACUUUAGUUGAGGACGGAUGGUUGCAAAAAAGAAAAAUUAAAAAAGAGGCUCUGGCAUUUAGAUCAACAACCCCUGCUUGCUUAAGUCCUCAACCAUCUGAGCUGCACCAAGUGGUGGCUGGAGAAGCUAGAAAUACUGGUCCUAACCUACAUUACCUUAAUCCCAGGAUUCAAAGUGUUACAGACAUGGAGGAAGUAAGGGUUGUUCAAAAAGACAGACUGAGUCGUAAUCAAUCAGGCUGCUCUACAUUGCCCUAUGAUCAUCAGAAAGCAGGAGCAAAGGGAAAAGUCAUAGUGAGUGAUGAUUCCACCUCCAUAUUGCCUUACAGUGAGCAAGAGAAAGAGGGUAUCAGGGCUCGAUCCAGAAAGAGUGACAAAUGUGCCUUCAGUGAAAGCCCUAGUCGGAUCUCACCCCUGACCCUGUUGGAAAAUGAGACAGAAAGUGAUCAGUCAAAUUUCUCGAGAAUGUCAGAAUCGGUUAAAGUUAAGCUUGCUCCCCAACCAGCCAGGAUGUCACCACUGCAGACCAGCACUAUCCUGGAAUACCUGAAUCUUCCUGGUUUCAUUGAAAUGAGUGUAGAUGAUCCAGUAGAAGUGACUGAGUCUUCGGAAUCUGUUGAACCCAGUGUCAAGGCAGAAACUGGGACACUGUUAAGAGAUGAGCCUGAUGUUGUACCCAAAAGUUGGGGAAAACAUGGUCAGGACCACUCUGAGACCAAUAUUAGUCAGCCCAAUGGGGCUGUUCAUGACCACAGCACCCUGAACAUUCCUGUAGAACAUGAUAAUCCUGGAAGUAUUCCAGUUUCUGAACCAUGUUCACAAUUAGAGGCAAGAGAUACUUGUGAUAAAUCAGGUACCUCAGACACAUGCAAUAAAGGCUUCUCACAGUCUAAAGAAAAUGAAAAGAGUUCUCAGCCUUUGCUUUCUCAGAGUUCAGGGUCUCAAAAACAAGAAUUUACUCAGCGUGGUCCAGCACAGACAUUAAUUAGCACAGCUAAAAGCAUGGCAGCAAUAGUUUCCAAAUGUCCAGACUCUACAUCUGAACCAUAUCAAAUACCUCAGACUCAGAAUAAAAGGACAAACAUGAUAUCCUCAAGGAUCUAUCAGGCUCCAGUGCCUUUCAUGAAGAAAUCAGUCAGCAUCGGUCCCUGUAGGACCCUCUCUGGAAUCGGGCAACCACGUCCUUUCCUAAAAAAGUCCAUUAGUUUAGGUUCUAGAUGGGAACAUUUUGAAAAUCCAAGAGCUUAUAUCUCUGAGACCUGUUACAGAGAUGAAUAUCCCCAUCCAGAUAUAAGGCUCAAAUCAUACAGUUUGGGUCGUACUCCUGCAUGUUACUAUCCCAUGUCUGGCCCAUCAUGGCGAGGGACAGUGCCCUUUCAACCUCCUAACAGCUACAGUCUAGAGAGACAUCAGCAUAUUGAAAGAGCUGACAUGCAACCCCCCUAUCACACACCUGGUCCCUCUGUCCCAGAUCCACCACAACACAUGGAAUUGUCCCUUCCUUCCAGGAGGGGAUCAGAUCCACGUCGACAGGGAGCAGUCUUUCCAGAUUCUUCUAGGUGGCCUCUGUCUUAUCAGGAAACUCUCAGGUCAGUUCAGCAUAAGUAUGUUCCACAAGACCACUCUCGACAUUUUGGCCCUACCAGACCGGUGGCCAGGGUGGACUACUUGCAUCCUGCAGAACCCAGAAGGGGUCCACCAAGGCCUUUCCUACCCAGAGGUUACAGCUGGCCCUCACCAUAUCAUACAUCCUUCCCCCAACGAGAGCAAGACUUUCCGAGACAGGUGGACAAAGGGAUGGGUGCAGCUAAGGGCUUCACAGAGACAGAAGGUCGGGAUAUAAGAGGUGAUGGGGGCAGAGCCAGUUACGCCAGCCAGAGCAGUGGAAGGGGUAGUGUGGGACCGCAUGGACACGGGCAUCUACGCCAGUCUCUCUCUAUCACCCCAACCUUACUCAGCUCGCCAGAGACCACAGAGGAGAGUGAGAUGCACAGGGCAGACAAAGACGUGAGAAUACAGAGGUCCAAAAGGUGA
rnacentral:lncRNA from 1 species